rnacentral:tRNA from 2 species
GGAAGUGUGCCAGAGCGGUCGAAUGGAACGGUCUUGAAAACCGUCGAGGGAAACCUCCCAGGGUUCAAAUCCCUGCGCUUCCG